rnacentral:rRNA from 1 species
UACGGGGGGGGCAAGCGUUGUUCGGAAUUACUGGGCGUAAAGGGCUCAUAGGUGGCCAACUAAGUCAGACGUGAAAGCCCUCAGCUCAACUGAGGAAGUGCGCCCGAAACUGCAGAGCUUGAGUACCGGAGAGGAUGGCGGAAUUCCCCAAGUAGAGGUGAAAUUCGUAGAUAUGGGGAGGAACACCGGUGGCGAAGGCGGCCAUCUGGACGGAUACUGACGCUGAGACGCGAAAGCGUGGGUAGCAAACAGG